UGGGGAAUAUUGCACAAUGGGCGCAAGCCUGAUGCAGCCAUGCCGCGUGUAUGAAGAAGGCCUUCGGGUUGUAAAGUACUUUCAGCGAGGAGGAAGGCGUUGUGGUUAAUAACCGCAACGAUUGACGCUACUCGCAGAAGAAGCACCGGCUAACUCCGUGCCAGCAGCCGCGGUAAUACGGAGGGUGCAAGCGUUAAUCGGAAUUACUGGGCGUAAAGCGCACGCAGGCGGUCUGUCAAGUCGGAUGUGAAAUCCCCGGGCUCAACCUGGGAACUGCAUCCGAAACUGGCAGGCUAGAGUCUUGUAGAGGGGGGUAGAAUUCCAGGUGUAGCGGUGAAAUGCGUAGAGAUCUGGAGGAAUACCGGUGGCGAAGGCGGCCCCCUGGACAAAGACUGACGCUCAGGUGCGAAAGCGUGGGGAGCAAACA
rnacentral:rRNA from 1 species